rnacentral:rRNA from 4 species
GUGGGUAGUUUGACUGGGGCGGUCUCCUCCUAAAGAGUAACGGAGGAGCACGAAGGUUGGCUAAUCCUGGUCGGACAUCAGGAGGUUAGUGCAAUGGCAUAAGCCAGCUUGACUGCGAGCGUGACGGCGCGAGCAGGUGCGAAAGCAGGUCAUAGUGAUCCGGUGGUUCUGAAUGGAAGGGCCAUCGCUCAACGGAUAAAAGGUACUCCGGGGAUAACAGGCUGAUACCGCCCAAGAGUUCAUAUCGACGGCGGUGUUUGGCACCUCGAUGUCGGCUCAUCACAUCCUGGGGCUGAAGUAGGUCCCAAGGGUAUGGCUGUUCGCCAUUUAAAGUGGUACGCGAGCUGGGUUUAGAACGUCGUGAGACAGUUCGGUCCCUAUCUGCCGUGGGCGCUGGAGAACUGAGGGGGGCUGCUCCUAGUACGAGAGGACCGGAGUGGACGCAUCACUGGUGUUCGGGUUGUCAUGCCAAUGGCACUGCCCGGUAGCUAAAUGCGGAAGAGAUAAGUGCUGAAAGCAUCUAAGCACGAAACUUGCCCCGAGAUGAGUUCUCCCUGAGACUUUAGGUCUCCUGAA